rnacentral:rRNA from 1 species
UGGGGAAUAUUGCACAAUGGGCGCAAGCCUGAUGCAGCCAUGCCGCGUGUAUGAUGAAGGCCUUCGGGUUGUAAAGUACUUUCAGCGGGGAGGAAGGGAGUAAAGUUAAUACCUUUGCUCAUUGACGUUACCCGCAGAAGAAGCACCGGCUAACUCCGUGCCAGCAGCCGCGGUAAUACGGAGGGUGCAAGCGUUAAUCGGAAUUACUGGGCGUAAAGCGCACGCAGGCGGUUUGUUAAGUCAGAUGUGAAAUCCCCGGGCUCAACCUAGGAACUGCAUCUGAUACUGGCAAGCUUGAGUCUCGUAGAGGGGGGUAGAAUUCCAGGUGUAGCGAUGAAAUGCGUAGAGAUCUGGAGGAAUACCGGUAGCGAAGGCAGCCCCCUGGACGAAGACUGACGCUAAGGUGCGAAAGCGUGGGGAGCAAACAGG